rnacentral:rRNA from 1 species
UCUUAACUGGGCGUUAAGUUGCAGGGUAUAGACCCGAAACCCGGUGAUCUAGCCAUGGGCAGGUUGAAGGUUGGGUAACACUAACUGGAGGACCGAACCGACUAAUGUUGAAAAAUUAGCGGAUGACUUGUGGCUGGGGGUGAAAGGCCAAUCAAACCGGGAGAUAGCUGGUUCUCCCCGAAAGCUAUUUAGGUAGCGCCUCGUGAAUUCAUCUCCGGGGGUAGAGCACUGUUUCGGCAAGGGGGUCAUCCCGACUUACCAACCCGAUGCAAACUGCGAAUACCGGAGAAUGUUAUCACGGGAGACACACGGCGGGUGCUAACGUCCGUCGUGAAGAGGGAAACAACCCAGACCGCCAGCUAAGGUCCCAAAGUCAUGGUUAAGUGGGAAACGAUGUGGGAAGGCCCAGACAGCCAGGAUGUUGGCUUAGAAGCAGCCAUCAUUUAAAGAAAGCGUAAUAGCUCACUGGUCGAGUCGGCCUGCGCGGAAGAUGUAACGGGGCUAAACCAUGCAC